CACAUGUCUCAGGGGUCCACCCGCCCCGCC
rnacentral:sRNA from 1 species